AUGCCUUUCUUAAGGAAAGCAUCACACAGAUAAAAUAAAUAAAAGCUUCAGACAAAAGUGAAGCAAAUUAAAGUCCAUCCCGCCAUCCUUCCAAAGAGCAAAGAAAGUCCAUGGAAAUUCAUCAACAUCCAGGAUGCUCAGGAGCUUCCAGGUUCAACAGAUGCGUGAGAUCCAUAGCAGAAACAUUGCUGUCCUCUUCAGAUUCAAGUACGGGUGAAAGUCAAGCUCUGGGAUACUGGAGCAGGGCUAUAUAAUUCUCUUUCCCUUGUAAUUUCAUUAAAAAAGAUUAAGGAAACCCUUGAAAAGUUGUAGAUACCUAAAAUUUUGGCCGUGCAUUGAUCAUCCACAAAAAGUGAAAGAUCACAAGUGAUCAAGCCACAUGUGUGAAAAAUCUCAAAUACACUUUGGGAGGCCGAGGCGGGCCGAUCAUAAGGUCAGGAGAUCGACACCAUCCUGGCUAACAGGGUGAAACCCCGUCUCUACUAAAAAUACAAAAAAUUAGCUGGGCAUGGUGGUGGGCACCUGUAGUCCCAGCUACUGGGAAGACUGAGGCAGAAGAAUGGCGUGAACCCGGGAGGCGAAGCUUGCAGUGAGCCGAGAUCGCACCACUGCACUCUAGCCUGGGCAACAGAGCGAGACUCCAUCUCAAAAAAAAAAAAAAAAAAAAAAAGAAAGAAAACUCUCAAAUAACUCUUGAUUCAAAUAGUCAACAUAACUCCUGGAGGAAAAAAAAAAGCAUUUCUACAUUGAGAGAGACAUUGCUAUAGUCCCC
rnacentral:lncRNA from 1 species